rnacentral:ncRNA from 1 species
UACCUGGUUGAUCCUGCCAGUAGUCAUAUGCUUGUCUCAAAGAUUAAGCCAUGCAUGUCUAAGUACAUGCCGAAACAAGGCGAAACCGCGAAUGGCUCAUUAAAUCAGUUAUGGUUCCUUAGAUCGUUUCUUCCUACUUGGAUAACUGUGGCAAUUCUAGAGCUAAUACAUGCAGUGAGCCCGAAGCCCCUCGGGGCGACGGGUGCUUUUAUUAGACCAAGAUCAAUCGGGCUUCGGUCCGUUUUGUGUGGUGACUCUGGAUAACUUUGUGCUGAUCGCACGGCCACGAGCCGGCGACGUUUCUUUCAAGUGUCUGCCUUAUCAACUGUCGAUGGUAGGUUAUGCGCCUACCAUGGUUGUUACGGGUAACGGAGAAUCAGGUUCGAUUCCGAGAGGGAGCCUGAGAAACGGCUACCACAUCCAAG